rnacentral:rRNA from 1 species
UGCGGCUGAACUCCGGUUGAUCCUGCCGGACCCGACUGCUAUCGGGGUGAGGCUAAGCCAUGGGAGUCGCGCGCCCCGCCGCCGCGGGGCGCGGCGCACGGCUGAG